rnacentral:tRNA from 1 species
GCGCGUGUAGCUCAAUUGGAUAGAGCAUCGGUCUUCGAAACCGAGGGUUGCAGGUUCGAGUCCUGCCAUGCGCG